rnacentral:rRNA from 1 species
UAGGAUGAACGCUGGCGGCGUGCCUAAUACAUGCAAGUCGGUACGAGGGAAGUCCAGCUUGCUGGACGGAACGAGUGGCGAACGGGUGAGUAAUACGUAAGCAACCUGCCUGCAAGGACUGGGAUAACACCUGGAAACGGGCGCUAAUACCGGAUAGGUAACAAAGGGGCAUCCCUAUGUUAUUAAAGGUUAGAAACACAAGCAGAUGGGCUUACGGUGCAUUGGCUAGUUGGUGAGGUAACGGCCCACCAAGGCGAUGAUGCAUAGCCGGCCUGAGAGGGUGAACGGCCACAUUGGGACUGAGACACGGCCCAGACUCCUACGGGAGGCAGCAGUAGGGAAUUUUCGGCAAUGGACGAAAGUCUGACCGAGCAACGCCGCCGUGAGUGAAGAAGGUUUUCGGAUUGUAAAGCUCUGUUGUAAGGGAAGAACAGCACGGAAAGAAUCCGUGAAUGACGGUACCUUACCAGAAAGCCACGGCUAACUACGUGCCAGCAGCGGC